rnacentral:rRNA from 1 species
GACGAACGCUGGCGGCGUGCCUAAUACAUGCAAGUCGAGCGGGUUUAUCCUUCGGGAUAAGCUAGCGGCGGACGGGUGAGUAACACGUAGGUAACCUGCCUGUAAGAUCGGGAUAACUACCGGAAACGGUAGCUAAGACCGGAUAGCUGGUUUCUCCGCAUGGAGAGAUCAUGAAACACGGUUUACGCUGUGGCUUACAGAUGGACCUGCGGCGCAUUAGCUAGUUGGCGGGGUAACGGCCCACCAAGGCGACGAUGCGUAGCCGACCUGAGAGGGUGAUCGGCCACACUGGGACUGAGACACGGCCCAGACUCCUACGGGAGGCAG